AUCUACCUAGUAGUAUGGAAUAGCCAUUAGAAAUGAUGGGUAAUACUGUAUAAUCCCUGCGGGGGAAAGAUUUAUCGCUAUUAGAUGAGCCUACGUUAGAUUAGCUAGUUGGUAAGGUAAUGGCUUACCAAGGCUAUGAUCUAUAGCUGGUCUGAGAGGACGAUCAGCCACACUGGAACUGAGAUACGGUCCAGACUCCUACGGGAGGCAGCAGUGGGGAAUAUUGGACAAUGGGCGAAAGCCUGAUCCAGCUAUGCCGCGUGAGUGAAGAAGGCCUUCGGGUUGUAAAACUCUUUCAAUAGGGAAGAUAAUGACGGUACCUAUAA
rnacentral:rRNA from 1 species